UACGAGGGGGGCGAGCGUUGUUCGGAAUUAUUGGGCGUAAAGGGUGCGUAGGCGGUUUGGUAAGUCUGAUGUGAAAUCUAUGGGCUCAACUCAUAGUCUGCAUCGGAAACUGCCGGGCUUGAGUGUGGGAGAGGUGAGUGGAAUUCCUGGUGUAGCGGUGAAAUGCGUAGAUAUCAGGAGGAACACCUGUGGCGAAAGCGGCUCACUGGACCAUAACUGACGCUGAUGCACGAAAAGCUAGGGGAGCAAACAGG
rnacentral:rRNA from 1 species